UACAGAGGGGGCAAGCGUUGUUCGGAAUUACUGGGCGUAAAGGGCGCGUAGGCGGCCUUCUAAGUCGAACGUGAAAUCCCCGGGCUCAACCCGGGAACUGCGUCCGAUACUGGAAGGCUUGAAUCCGGGAGAGGGAUGCGGAAUUCCAGGUGGUAGCGGUGAAAUGCGUAGAUAUCUGGAGGAACACCGGGUGGCGAAGGCGGCAUCCUGGACCGGCAUUGACGCUGAGGCG
rnacentral:rRNA from 1 species